rnacentral:rRNA from 1 species
UACGUAGGUGGCAAGCGUUAUCCGGAUUUAUUGGGCGUAAAGGGAACGCAGGAGGUCUUUUAAGUCUGAUGUGAAAGCCUUCGGCUUAACCGGAGUAGUGCAUUGGAAACUGGGAGACUUGAGUGCAGAAGAGGAGAGUGGAACUCCAUGUGUAGCGGUGAAAUGCGUAGAUAUAUGGAAGAACACCAGUGGCGAAAGCGGCUCUCUGGUCUGUAACUGACGCUGAGGUUCGAAAGCGUGGGUAGCAAACAGG